rnacentral:tmRNA from 1 species
GGGCCAGUAAUGGUUUCGACGGGGGAUAUGCAGCUGAAGAAGCGAGUCGGCAGGAACGCCGUAAAUGGCCAAAUUAAACUAAACGCUGAAGAUAAUUUAGCAAUCGCUGCCUAAUGGCAGCAGUCAGCCCUAGUGCACCUACGCAUUAGGAACCUGGCUUCAUCUACGUAGGAAACGACACUGCUUAAGCUUUGCGGCAGCGGGCGUACUAUGAAGCUACUAAAGUGUGAAGGGUGUUUGUUCCCGUCACAUGGAGGGAAUGUCAAAUAACAAACUACACUCGUAGAAGGACAGGGAAUUAUUCUUCGGACGCGGGUUCGAUCCCCGCCUGGUCCACUA